rnacentral:rRNA from 1 species
GACGAACGCUGGCGGCGUGCUUAACACAUGCAAGUCGAACGGAAAGGCCCUGCUUUUGUGGGGUGCUCGAGUGGCGAACGGGUGAGUAACACGUGAGUAACCUGCCCUUGACUUUGGGAUAACUUCAGGAAACUGGGGCUAAUACCGGAUAGGAGCUCCUGCUGCAUGGUGGGGGUUGGAAAGUUUCGGCGGUUGGGGAUGGACUCGCGGCUUAUCAGCUUGUUGGUGGGGUAGUGGCUUACCAAGGCUUUGACGGGUAGCCGGCCUGAGAGGGUGACCGGCCACAUUGGGACUGAGAUACGGCCCCGACUCCUACGGGAGGCAGCAGUGGGGAAUUUUGCACAAUGGGCGGAAGCCUGAUGCAGCAACGCCGCGUGCGGGAUGACGGCCUUCGGGUUGUAAACCGCUUUCGCCUGUGACGAAGCGUGAGUGACGGUAAUGGGUAAAGAAGGACCGGGUGACUACGUU